GGAUUUCUCGGCAUGCUUGCUCGAACCGGUCAACAAAUUGGCAUCCAUUAUGAGAGUUGGCAUAAAGUGCCAAAAACAUUGAAGGAUGAAUUGUUCAAAUUUAUUGAGAGUAUGUGCUCAAGUCUCUGGGGAAGAAAUGGAGAGAUUACAAGCAUGAUUUGAAAAAGCGUCAUUUCAAACGAGAAGAUGGUUUGCAAGUGAACAAAGAUAAACAUCCAAAUGCAACCAUUAGAUGGCAAUGGGAACAAUUAGUCGAUUAUUGGAUUCAGAAAGACUUGGGGUUGCUAGCAGAAAACAACAAAAAUAUACUCAUACCUCUGGAUCAAAGAGCUUUGCUAGAAAGGA